rnacentral:tRNA from 1 species
UAAUAAGAGCUAUUUCAGCGUUCUGGUUUCGGCCCAAAAACUCAAGAUAAACUUCUUGCUUAUUAC